ACGGGUGAGUAAUGUCUGGGGAUCUGCCCGAUAGAGGGGGAUAACCACUGGAAACGGUGGCUAAUACCGCAUAACGUCGCAAGACCAAAGAGGGGGACCUUCGGGCCUCUCACUAUCGGAUGAACCCAGAUGGGAUUAGCUAGUAGGCGGGGUAACGGCCCACCUAGGCGACGAUCCCUAGCUGGUCUGAGAGGAUGACCAGCCACACUGGAACUGAGACACGGUCCAGACUCCUACGGGAGGCAGCAGUGGGGAAUAUUGCACAAUGGGCGCAAGCCUGAUGCAGCCAUGCCGCGUGUAUGAAGAAGGCCUUCGGGUUGUAAAGUACUUUCAGCGGGGAGGAAGGCGAUAAGGUUAAUAACCUUGUCGAUUGACGUUACCCGCAGAAGAAGCACCGGCUAACUCCGUGCCAGCAGCCGCGGUAAUACGGAGGGUGCAAGCGUUAAUCGGAAUUACUGGGCGUAAAGCGCACGCAGGCGGUCUGUUAAGUCAGAUGUGAAAUCCCCGGGCUUAACCUGGGAACUGCAUUUGAAACUGGCAGGCUUGAGUCUCGUAGAGGGGGGUAGAAUUCCAGGUG
rnacentral:rRNA from 1 species